UGCUCUCUGCGAUGUUCGCCAGUGGGUCCGCAUAAUGCCUUGUCCCUAUUUUUUGACCUCGGGAAGGCAAGCCCGGUGCCGGUGUGCAUGUUCGUUCCGCGAAUAGCCUGAAGGACCGACCUGCUCUCCCACCUGAACCUCUGGUUCAAGGUCUCCGGUCCUGCAGCGGCAUCCGCGGAGAGCAC
rnacentral:other from 1 species